rfam:Felis catus isolate Cinnamon breed Abyssinian chromosome B3, whole genome shotgun sequence.
GCCUGGGUGGCUCAGUCGGUUGGGCGUCUGACUUCGGCUCAGGUCAUGACCUCACCAUCCGUGAGUUCAAGCCCCACAUCAGGCU